UACGGACGGGGCAAGCGUUGUUCGGAAUCAUUGGGCGUAAAGGGCGCGUAGGUGGUUCUGUAUGUCUAUCGUGAAAGCAUACAGCUCAACUGUAUUUUGUCGGUAGAAACUGCAGGACUUGAGGCUGGGAGGGGCUGGUGGAAUUCCCUGUGUAGCGGUGAAAUGCGUAGAGAUGGGGGAGAACACUCGUGGCGAAGGCGGCCAGCUAGACCAGUUCUGACACUGAGGCGCGACAGCGUGGGGAGCAAACAGG
rnacentral:rRNA from 1 species